rnacentral:rRNA from 1 species
UACGGAGGAUGCAAGCGUUAUCCGGAUUUAAUGGGUUUAAAGGGUGCGCAGGUUGUUUGAUAAGUCAGUGGUGAAAGUCUGUCGCUUAACGGUAGGAUUGCCAUUGAUACUGUUAGACUUGAAUAUGGAUGAGGUAGGCGGAAUGUGUAGUGUAGCGGUGGAAUGCGCAGAGAUCAGGAGGAAUACCGAAGGCGAAGGCAGUCUUCCAAGCCGUUAUUGACGCUCAACUGCGAAGGUGUGGGUAUCAAACAGGAUUAGA